UAUUGUGCUGACAAUUUUGUUGAUUGCUGCUGGAAAUUAUGUAGCCUGCUAGUUACGCUGCUGGCUGAAUUUGUUGAAUUUUUGUGACAGGUCAGAUACUAUUUUUCUUGUAUAAUUUUGUGCUGGAUCAUUGUGAAAUCCAAUAAUUAAAAACAAUGCAAUUAUAUAUUUACGAUGUGCCGUAGUAGCAACAAUCUACUUCAUAUUUACUUAUUCGAAUACUUCUGUCAAAAGUCUUUUGUCAAACAAAUUACUGCUGUUCGACUAGCCAGCACCGCUGCCAACACGACAACAAAUUUAGCUAGCAAUCCUGUAGAAAAAAAGCCAUUGUAUGUUGCAGGCUUUACUCAGAAACAAGAUCAAAUAGAAUAAAUGUUUAUAUGAACCUUUUAUGUUACUUUUGUAUCCUAAAUUAAUUUCUGAAGUUACGUCUACGUGUUAUGAAACACUGCGUGCACGAGGACAUGUACAUAGAGUUGGGAAAGUCAUUUUGUAAAAAGCAGUACAGAUAACAUCAGGAAAGACGCCAAUUGCGCAUAUCUUGCACACAUCGCUAAUUGAUAAAUUUAAUAUAAAACAUUCUCAUUGGUAAAAAGCAGUGAAAAAUUCUAGGCUAAUACAAAUGGUAAUAAGUAGGCGAUAGAAGAAGUACGAUUUGUUUUGAAGUAAUCCAGUCAUCAAGUCAAUUCACAUGGGACCCAAUUUUCUUGCUUUUAAACCAUUCCCAUUGCAUGUAGACGGGGAAAUACAUUCUAGAGCAUGUUUACCAUAAGCUUCUACAAGCAAACGGCGACUUUCAGCAGUAGUUUUCUUUAAAAUAAAAUAAUGCAGCAAAACUUGCCGCAAAUGUUGUUUUGUUGGCACAAAAUUUGACAUUUUCGACACAAUGAGAAAAUUUGUCGUUUAUACUACACUCUAAUGUUAUAUAUUAAAUCUUAAAGCUUACUUAGGUAUCUAAUACUUAGAUAUGUUACUAUUUUUAAUUAUAUGCACGCAGUAUUGGUGACGGCAUCUAUUAGAAAACGAUGGAAA